rnacentral:rRNA from 1 species
ACUCCUACGGGAGGCAGCAGUGGGGAAUAUUGCACAAUGGGGGAAACCCUGAUGCAGCCAUGCCGCGUGUGUGAAGAAGGCCUUGGGUUGUAAAGCACUUUCAGUAGGGAGGAAGGUAGUGUAGUUAACACCUGCAUUAUUUGACGUUACCUACAGAAGAAGCACCGGCUAACUCCGUGCCAGCAGCCGCGGUAAGUACGGAGGGUGCGAGCGUUAAUCGGAAUUACUGGGCGUAAAGCGCAUGCAGGCGGCCUGUUAAGUCAGAUGUGAAAGCCCGGGGCUUAACCUCGGAAUUGCAUUUGAAACUGGCAGGCUAGAGUCUUGUAGAGGGGUUAGAAUUUCAGGUGUAGCGGUGAAAUGCGUAGAGAUCUGAAGGAAUACCGAGUGGCGAAGGCGGCCCCUGGACAAAGACUGACGCUCAGAUGCGAAAGCGUGGGAGCAAACAGGAUUAGAUACCCCGUGGUAGACUGUCA